GUGACAUUGGCCAAUCACAAUGUCCCAAUGCUUGUGAAAGAGAGAGAAACAUAAGCAUUGUGGCAUUGUGAUUGGUCAAUGUCAC
rfam:Medicago truncatula strain A17 chromosome 7, whole genome shotgun sequence.